rnacentral:rRNA from 1 species
CACAUGCAAGUCGAGCGAUUCUCUUCGGAGAAGAGCGGCGGACGGGUGAGUAACGCGUGGGUAACCUGCCCUGUACACACGGAUAACAUACCGAAAGGUAUGCUAAUACGAGAUAAUAUGCUUUUAUCGCAUGGUAGAAGUAUCAAAGCUUUUGCGGUACAGGAUGGACCCGCGUCUGAUUAGCUAGUUGGUAAGGUAACGGCUUACCAAGGCGACGAUCAGUAGCCGACCUGAGAGGGUGAUCGGCCACAUUGGAACUGAGACACGGUCCAAACUCCUACGGGAGGCAGCAGUGGGGAAUAUUGCACAAUGGGCGAAAGCCUGAUGCAGCAACGCCGCGUGAGCGAUGAAGGCCUUCGGGUCGUAAAGCUCUGUCCUCAAGGAAGAUAAUGACGGUACUUGAGGAGGAAGCCCCGGCUAACUACGUGCCAGCAGCCGCGGUAAUACGUAGGGGGCUAGCGUUAUCCGGAAUUACUGGGCGUAAAGGGUGCGUAGGUGGUUUCUUAAGUCAGAGGUGAAAGGCUACGGCUCAACCGUAGUAAGCCUUUGAAACUGGGAAACUUGAGUGCAGGAGAGGAGAGUGGAAUUCCUAGUGUAGCGGUGAAAUGCGUAGAUAUUAGGAGGAACACCAGUUGCGAAGGCGGCUCUCUGGACUGU